UCCCCGGUGGUCCAGUGGCUAAGACUCCUGGCUCCCAAAGCAGGGGUCCCAGGUUCAAUCCCUGGUCAGGGAA
rnacentral:tRNA from 1 species